UCCCUCUCAGGAUCACACCUGGAGAAUUUCCAGUAUUCUACCAGACUUAGCUACGGGAGGGAGAGUCAAGCAGAGGCAUACCCAUUCAUUCUAUUCCUAGCUUGGCCAGUGACUAGCGAGUGGAAGGCAAUCUGCUACAAAU
rfam:Ornithorhynchus anatinus chromosome 1, whole genome shotgun sequence.